GAUGAACGCUGGCGGCGUGCUUAACACAUGCAAGUCGAACGAAGCAUUUAGGACAGAUUACUUCGGUUUGAAGUUCUUUAUGACUGAGUGGCGGACGGGUGAGUAACGCGUGGGUAACCUGCCUUGUACUGGGGGAUAGCAGCUGGAAACGGCUGGUAAUACCGCAUAAGCGCACAAUGUUGCAUGACAUGGUGUGAAAAACUCCGGUGGUAUAAGAUGGACCCGCGUCUGAUUAGCUAGUUGGUGAGAUAACAGCCCACCAAGGCGACGAUCAGUAGCCGACCUGAGAGGGUGACCGGCCACAUUGGGACUGAGACACGGCCCAGACUCCUACGGGAGGCAGCAGCGGGGAAUAUUGCACAAUGGAGGAAACUCUGAUGCAGCGACGCCGCGUGAGUGAAGAAGUAAUUCGUUAUGUAAAGCUCUAUCAGCAGGGAAGAUAGUGACGGUACCUGACUAAGAAGCGCCGGCUAAAUACGUG
rnacentral:rRNA from 1 species